CGCGGCCUAUCAGCUUGUUGGUGGGGUAGUGGCCUACCAAGGCGAUGACGGGUAGCCGGCCUGAGAGGGCGACCGGCCACACUGGGACUGAGACACGGCCCAGACUCCUACGGGAGGCAGCAGUGGGGAAUAUUGCGCAAUGGGCGAAAGCCUGACGCAGCAACGCCGCGUGAGGGACGACGGCCUUCGGGUUGUAAACCUCUUUCAGCGCUGACGAAGCCUCUUGGGGUGACGGUAGGCGCAGAAGAAGCACCGGCUAACUACGUGCCAGCAGCCGCGGUAAUACGUAGGGUGCGAGCGUUGUCCGGAAUUAUUGGGCGUAAAGGGCUCGUAGGCGGUUUGUUGCGUCUGCUGUGAAAGCCCGGGGCUUAACCCCGGGUCUGCAGUGGAUACGGGCAGGCUAGAGUCCGGCAGGGGAGACUGGAAUUCCUGGUGUAGCGGUGGAAUGCGCAGAUAUCAGGAGGAACACCGGUGGCGAAGGCGGGUCUCUGGGCCGGUACUGACGCUGAGGAGCGAAAGCGUGGGGAGCGAACAGGAUUAGAUACCCUGGUAGUCCACGCCGUAAACGUUGGGCGCUAGGUGUGGGUUCCCUUCCACGGGAUCCGUGCCGUAGCUAACGCAUUAAGCGCCCCGCCUUGGGGGAGUAACGG
rnacentral:rRNA from 1 species